GCCGGGUCGAGUCCGGUCCAGUCCGGGCGCUGCGGGCAGCCCCGGGGGCUGCUCAUCCGACUGCAGCCGCUGCUGGAAGGUGAAUUUGCUUUGGAUGAUCUGGGAACUGGUGUAGUCAGAGGUCCUGACUGAUAGCCCCUGAACUAAACUUCUGGGAAAGCACUGACCUUCCACCUGGAGUCCAUUGUUGGCUGUGGAGGUAAGGAAGGACCUCAACCUGACUCUGUGGGAUUUGACCUGGUAAAAGUGCUAGAGUUUUGCCCAG
rnacentral:lncRNA from 1 species